rnacentral:rRNA from 1 species
GCGAGUCGAAUGUAGCAAUACAUGGCGUACUGCUCAGUAACACGUGGACAACCUACCCUUAGGACGGGGAUAAACCCGGGAAACUGGGUAUAAUACCCGAUAGUUCUCGGCUGCUGGAAUGCACCGAGUACUAAAGCUCCGGCGCCUAAGGAUGGGUCUGCGGCCUAUCAGGUAGUAGUGGGUGUAGCGUACCUACUAGCCUACGACGGGUACGGGUUGUGAGAGCAAGAGCCCGGAGAUGGAUUCUGAGACACGAAUCCAGGCCCUACGGGGUGCAGCAGGCGCGAAAACUUUACAAUGCUGGCAACAGCGAUAAGGGGACCUCGAGUGCCAGGUUACAAAUCUGGCUGUCGUGAUGCCUAAAAAGCAUUGCAUAGCAAGGGCCGGGCAAGACCGGUGCCAGCCGCCGCGGUAACACCGGCGGCUCGAGUGGUAACCGUUAUUAUUGGGUCUAAAGGGUCUGUAACCGGCCGGAUAAGUCUCUUGGGAAAUCUGGCAGCUUAACUGUCAGGCUUUCAGGAGAUACUGUCUGGCUCGAGGCCGGGAGAGGUGAGAGGUACUUCAGGGGUAGGGGUGAAAUCUUGUAAUCCUUGAAGGACCACCAGUGGCGAAGGCGUCUCACCAGAACGGACCUGACGGCAAGGGACGAAAGCUAGGGGCACGAACCGGAUUAGAUACCCUGGUAGUCCUAGCCGUAAACGAUACUCGCUAGGUGUCGGCCACGGUGCGACCGUUGUCGGUGCCGUAGGGAAGCCGUGAAGCGAGCCACCUGGGAAGUACGGCCGCAAGGCUGAAACUUAAAGGAAUUGGCGGGGGAGCACUACAACGGGUGGAGC